rnacentral:tRNA from 1 species
UAGCCUAGUGGUAAGGCUUUGGAAUGCCAAUCCGGAGACGACGGGUUCGAUUCCCGU